rnacentral:rRNA from 1 species
UACGUAGGUGGCAAGCGUUGUCCGGAUUUACUGGGCGUAAAGCGUGCGCAGGCGGUUUGCUAAGACAGGUGUGAAAUCCCCGGGCUUAACCUGGGAACUGCGCUUGUAACUGGCAAGCUGGAGUGUGGCAGAGGGGGGUGGAAUUCCACGUGUAGCAGUGAAAUGCGUAGAGAUGUGGAGGAACACCGAUGGCGAAGGCAGCCCCCUGGGCUAACACUGACGCUCAUGCACGAAAGCGUGGGGAGCAAACAGG